rnacentral:lncRNA from 1 species
GUCAGUUUGAUAGGGCAUGGCUAGGUCAGUUUGAUAGGGCAUGGCUAGGUCAGUUUGAUAGAGGGCGGCUCAGUCAGUUUGAUUGGGCAUGGCUAGGUCAGUUUGAUAGGGCAUGGCUAGGUCAGUUUGAUAGGGCAUAGCUUGGUCAGUUUGAUAGGGCAUGGCUAGGUCAGUUUGAUAGGGCAUGGCUCGGUCAGUUUGAUAGGGCAUGGCUAGGUCAGUUUGAUAGGGCAUGGCUAGGUCAGUUUGAUAGGGCAUGGCUCGGUCAGUUUGAUAGAGGACUGCUCAGUCAGUUUGAUAGGGCAUGGCUAGGUCAGUUUGAUAGGGCAUGGCUAGGUCAGUUUGAUAGGGCAUGGCUCGGUCAGUUUGAUAGAGGAC